rnacentral:miRNA from 1 species
UUAAGUUGGUGCAAAAGUAAUCAUGGUUUUUGCCAUUGAAAGUAAUGGCAAAAAACAGCCAUUAUUUUUGCACCAAUCUAAUA